AGAGUUUGAUCCUGGCUCAGAUUGAACGCUGGCGGCAUGCUUUACACAUGCAAGUCGAACGGCAGCGCGGGUGCUUGCACCUGGCGGCGAGUGGCGAACGGGUGAGUAAUGUAUCGGAACGUACCUGACAGUGGGGGAUAACUCGUUGAAAGAUGAGCUAAUACCGCAUAAGUCCUAAGGGAGAAAGUGGGGGACCUUCGGGCCUCACGCUAACAGAGCGGCCGAUAUCUGAUUAGCUAGUUGGUGAGGUAAAGGCUCACCAAGGCGAUGAUCAGUAGCUGGUCUGAGAGGACGACCAGCCACACUGGAACUGAGAGACGGUCCAGACUCCUACGGGAGGCAGCAGUGGGGAAUUUUGGACAAUGGGGGCAACCCUGAUCCAGCAAUGCCGCGUGAGUGAAGAAGGCCUUCGGGUUGUAAAGCUCUUUUGUUGGGGAAGAAAUGGUGGUUUCUAAUAUAGACCAUUGAUGACGGUACCCAAAGAAUAAGCACCGGCUAACUACGUGCCAGCAGCCGCGGUAAUACGUAGGGUGCGAGCGUUAAUCGGAAUUACUGGGCGUAAAGGGUGCGCAGGCGGUUUGUUAAGUCAGCUGUGAAAUCCCCGGGCUUAACCUGGGAAUGGCAGUUGAGACUGGCAGGCUAGAGUGUGUCAGAGGGGGGUAGAAUUCCACGUGUAGCAGUGAAAUGCGUAGAGAUGUGGAGGAAUACCGAUGGCGAAGGCAGCCCCCUGGGAUAACACUGACGCUCAAGCACGAAAGCGUGGGGAGCAAACAGGAUUAGAUACCCUGGUAGUCCACGCCCUAAACGAUGUCAACUAGUUGUUGGAGCACAAGUGGCUUUGGUAACGCAGCUAACGCGAGAAGUUGACCGCCUGGGGAGUACGGUCGCAAGAUUAAAACUCAAAGGAAUGACGG
rnacentral:rRNA from 1 species